AGUACCAUCCUUAUUAUUCUUAUCCUCAUCUUCCUGAAAAGCACUCAUUCCAAACUUCCAGCAAUACUCUCUAUGCUUGAGCUUGACUUCCUCCAUUAACGACCAGUAACAAUCUCUGUAUAUACGCUGGAGUUGCUUACCCCGUCGAUUCCUCCUUUUGUAAACUUCCACUCGAUGCAAAUGCUUGGAACGGGACAGAACAGCAUCCUCCUCCCAUCCGUCGAUUUUGAUCAAGGCAUUCGAAGAAGAGGGACGGCCGGCAGCAUUCACGGUCGAGGAAUUCGGGUCGGGCAUAUCGGUAUCAACAGAAAGGAGACGCGAAUUGGUUGCUCUGUUGAAAUUGUAAGGGUUUUUCAGGUCAAUUUUGUUAGGGUUUAGGUUAGAAUUGGAGGUUCCUGGGCGGUGAUUGGCGGUAGAAGCGGCGGCGGCGAUGGUGGCGGUGGUGGCGGCGGUGGAUUGAGGGGUCGCCGGGGGCAUUUUCUGUGGGGUUAUGAUUUUG
rnacentral:misc_RNA from 1 species